ACUAGGUGAGCUCUCAGGAGCUAGGUCGCAGUGCACUUACAAGGAUGAGCCCAAACCAUGCUGGUUGGGCGGGACAAGGACAGUGGGUGUAACUGUGUGCUCAGGAACUGCAGUGACAGUAGAGCAAAAGUGUCUUGUGGACUGAGGUCUUGUGAGUAGGCAAAACCUUGAACCAUCAACAUUUUUAACAAGCAUGGCAGUAACAGUGAAAAUUGCAACACAUGAGAUUUUUCUUCCAUUUCUUUAUUGCAAAUAAAGUAGUUAAAAUUAGA